AACUUUCGGCAACGGAUCUCUUGGCUCUCGCAUCGAUGAAGAACACAGCGAAAUGUGAUAAGUAAUGUGAGUUGCAGAAUUCAGUGAAUCAUCGAAUCUUUGAACGCAUCUUGCGCUCCUUGGUAUUCUGAGGAGCAUGCCUGUUUGAGUGUCAUUAAAUUCUCAACCACACUAAUUUUUAUUGGCGUGGCUUGGAUUAUGGGGUUUCUGCAGGCUUUAAAACCAGCUUCCCUGAAAUGCAUUAGUGGUAUCUGAGCAGACUACAGGUGUGAUAACUAUCUAUGCCUUUGCUGAAAACAGAUUACACUGCUUCAAACAACAAACUAUUGUUUUUGUUUGACCUCAAAUCAGGUAGGACUACCCGCUGAACUUAAGCAUAUCAAUAAGCGGAGGCU
rnacentral:misc_RNA from 1 species